rnacentral:rRNA from 1 species
GACCAGACUCCUACGGGAGGCAGCAGUGGGGAAUAUUGCACAAUGGGGGAAACCCUGAUGCAGCGACGCCGCGUGGGUGAAGGAGCACCUCGGUGCGUAAAGCCCUAUCGGCAGGGAAGAAACAGACGGUACCUGACUAAGAAGCCCCGGCUAACUACGUGCCAGCAGCCGCGGUAAUACGUAGGGGGCAAGCGUUAUCCGGAUUUACUGGGUGUAAAGGGAGCGUAGACGGUUGUGCAAGUCAGAAGUGAAAGCCCGGGGCUCAACUCCGGGACUGCUUUUGAAACUGUGAAACUGGAGUGCAGGAGAGGUAAGCGGAAUUCCUGGUGUAGCGGUGAAAUGCGUAGAUAUCAGGAGGAACACCAGUGGCGAAGGCGGCUUACUGGACUGUAACUGACGUUGAGGCUCGAAAGCGUGGGGAGCAAACAGGAUUAGAUACCCGAGUAU